rnacentral:rRNA from 1 species
GACGAACGCUGGCGGCGUGCCCAUACAUGCAAGUCUCACGCUUCUUUCCUCCCGAGUGCUUGCACUCAAUUGGAAAGAGGAGUGGCGGACGGGUGAGUAACACGUGGAUAACCUACCCAUCAGAGGGGGAUAACACUUGGAAACAGGUGCUAAUACCGAAUAACAGUUUAUGCCGCAUGGCAUAGGAGUGAACGGCGCUUUCUGGUGUCGCUGAUGGUUGGCUCCGCGGUGCAUUAGCUAGUUGGUGAGGUAACGGCUCACCAAGGCCACGAUGCAUAGCCGACCUGAGAGGGUGAUCGGCCACACUGGGACUGAGACACGGCCCAGACUCCUACGGGAGGAAGCAGUAGGGAAUCUUCGGCAAUGGACGAAAGUCUGACCGAGCAACGCCGCGUGAGUGAAGAAGGUGUUCGGAUCGUAAAACUCUGUUGUUAGAGAAGAACAAGGACGUUAGUAACUGAACGUCCCCUGACGGUACCUAACCAGAAAGCCACGGCUAACUACGUG